rnacentral:rRNA from 1 species
AUUGAACGCUGGCGGCAGGCCUAACACAUGCAAGUCGAACGGUAACAGGAAGCAGCUUGCUGCUUUUCUGACGCGUGGCGGACGGGUGAGUAAUGUCUGGGAAACUGCCUGAUGGAGGGGGAUGACUACUGGAAACGGUAGCUAAUACCGCAUAACGUCGCAAGCCCAAAGGGGGGGACCUUCGGGCCUCUUGCCAUCGGAUGUGUCCAGAUGGGAUUAGCUAGUAGGUGGGGUAACGGCUCACCUCGGCGACGAUCCCUAGCUGGUCUGAGAAGAUGACCAGCCACACUGGAACGGAGACACGGUCCAGACUCCUACGGGAGGCAGCAGUGGGGAAUAUUGCACAAUGGGGGCAAGCCUGAUGCAGCCAUGCCGCGUGUAUGAAGAAGGCCUUCGGGUUGUAAAGUACUUUCAGCGGGGAGGAAGGGAGUAAAGUUAAUACCUUUGCUCAUUGACGUUACCCGCAGAAGAAGCACCGGCUAACUCCGUG